rnacentral:rRNA from 1 species
GAUGAACGCUGGCGGCGUGCCUAACACAUGCAAGUCGAGCGAACGGACGAGAAGCUUGCUUGUCUCACGUUAGCGGCGGACGGGUGUGUAACACGUGGAUAACCUACCUAUAAGUCUGGUAUAACUUCGGGAAACCGGAUCUUAUACCGGAGAAUAUCUUGAACCGCGGGGUGCAAAAGAGAAUGACGGUCUUUGUGUCUCUUAUAGAGGCUUCUGCGCUGCAUUGGCUAGUUGGUAGGUUAACGGCUUACGAAGGGAAGGAUGCGUAGCCGACGUGAGAGGGUGGUCGGCCACACUGGAACUGGGCCACGGUCCAGACUCCUACGGGAGGCCGCAGUAGCGAAUCUUCCGCAGUGGGCGAAAGCAUGACGCAGCGACGCCGCGUGAGAGAUGAAGGUCUUCGGAUCGUAAAGCUCUGUUUUUAGGGAAGAACAUAUGUGUAAUUAGAUGUGCACAUAUUGACGGUACCUAAUCAGGAAGCAACGGCUAACUACGUG